rnacentral:tRNA from 1 species
GCGGUUGAGGGCAACGCGGCUGUUGUCCGCCGCCUGCGGCGCGGCCGGCCGGAUCGUCGCCAGCGCCUGCC